rnacentral:rRNA from 1 species
GACGAACGCUGGCGGCGUGCCUAAUACAUGCAAGUCGAACGAGAGCGCCCGGUGCUUGCACUGGUCAAUCUAGUGGCGAACGGGUGAGUAACACGUGGGUAACCUGCCCAUCAGAGGGGGAUAACAUCCGGAAACGGAUGCUAAAACCGCAUAGGUCUUCGAGCCGCAUGGCUCGAAGAGGAAAAGAGGCGCAAGCUUCUGCUGAUGGAUGUACCCGCGGUGCAUUAGCUAGUUGGUGAGGUAACGGCUCACCAAGGCCGUGAUGCAUAGCCGACCUGAGAGGGUGAUCGGCCACAUUGGGACUGAGACACGGCCCAAACUCCUACGGGAGGCAGCAGUAGGGAAUCUUCCGCAAUGGACGCAAGUCUGACGGAGCAACGCCGCGUGAGUGAAGAAGGUUUUCGGAUCGUAAAACUCUGUUGUUAGAGAAGAACAAGUGCUAGAGUAACUGUUAGCGCCUUGACGGUAUCUAAACAGAAAGCCACGGCUAACUACGUG